GAUGAAGAACGCAGCGAAAUGCGAUAAGUAGUGUGAAUUGCAGAAUUCCGUGAAUCAUCGAAUCUUUGAACGCACAUUGCGCCUCCUGGUAAUCCGUGAGGCAUGCCUGUCCGAGCGUCAUUUCAACCAUCAAGCCCUGUUUAGGCUUGUGUUGGGGCCCUGCGGUUGCCGCAGCCCCCUAAAUGCAGUGGCGGGCUCGUUGUCACUCCGAGCGCAGUAGCGUAUCUCGCUCUGGGCGUGGCGGCGGGUGCUAGCCGUGAAACACCCACUAAGGUUGACCUCGGAUCAGGUAGGAAUACCCGCUGAACUUAAGCAUAUCAAUAAGCGGAGGA
rnacentral:misc_RNA from 1 species